rnacentral:rRNA from 1 species
UACGUAGGGUGCGAGCGUUGUCCGGAAUUAUUGGGCGUAAAGAGCGUGUAGGCGGCCAGGUAGGUCUGCUGUGAAAACUCGAGGCUUAACCUCGAGCUGUCGGCGGAAACCAUCUGGCUAGAGUCCGGAAGAGGAGAAUGGAAUUCCACGUGUAGCGGUGAAAUGCGUAGAGAUGUGGAGGAACACCAGUGGCGAAGGCGGGUCUCUGGGCAACAACUGACGCUGAGGAGCGAAAGCGUGGGGAGCGAACAGG